AACGUAGGUCACAAGCGUUGUCCGGAAUUACUGGGUGUAAAGGGAGCGCAGGCGGGCGAUCAAGUUGGAAGUGAAAUCCAUGGGCUCAACCCAUGAACUGCUUUCAAAACUGGUCGUCUUGAGUAGUGCAGAGGUAGGCGGAAUUCCCGGUGUAGCGGUGGAAUGCGUAGAUAUCGGGAGGAACACCAGUGGCGAAGGCGGCCUGCUGGGCACCAACUGACGCUGAGGCUCGAAAGUGUGGGUAGCAAACAGG
rnacentral:rRNA from 1 species